CCUAUCGUUCAAAUCCAAAAGCCAGGCUACUUCCCGCCAGCAUCCCAUUAUUUAUAGGGGCAAUCAUGGCCGGAACUACUGGCCAAAAGCCUCCUGGCGUUUCUAAGUUGCUGGAAAGCCCCCGGCUCAACCGGGGAGGGUCUUGGUAAUUGGGGACCUUGAGUGCAGAAGAGGAGAGUGGAAUCCCACGUGUAGCGUCGAAAUGUGUAGACAUGUGGAGAACCCCCGGGGGAGAACGCGUUUCUCUUGUGCAUACAAGUUCCUGAGGUGCAAAAGCCUGUGACCGGAUAAGCCUGGGUACCUCGCUUUUUCCCCUCCCGAUAACCGCUGGGGUAGCAAAGUUUUAGGGGGAUUUUCGCCCCAUUAGUCUUGCAGCUAAACGCAUUAACCCUUCCCCUUGGGGAGUACGGUCCCAAGAUUGAAACUCAAAGGAAUUGACGGGGGCCCGCCCAAGCGGUGGAGCAUGUGGUUUAAUUCGAAGCAACGCGAAGAACCUUACCAGGUCUUGACAUCCUUUGACAAUCCUAGAGAUAGGACGUCCCCUUCGGGGGCAGAGUGACAGGUGGUGCAUGGUUGUCGUCAGCUCGUGUCGUGAGAUGUUGGGUUAAGUCCCGCAACGAGCGCAACCCUUGAUCUUAGUUGCCAGCAUUCAGUUGGGCACUCUAAGGUGACUGCCGGUGACAAACCGGAGGAAGGUGGGGAUGACGUCAAAUCAUCAUGCCCCUUAUGACCUGGGCUACACACGUGCUACAAUGGACAGAACAAAGGGCAGCGAAACCGCGAGGUUAAGCCAAUCCCACAAAUCUGUUCUCAGUUCGGAUCGCAGUCUGCAACUCGACUGCGUGAAGCUGGAAUCGCUAGUAAUCGCGGAUCAGGAUGUCACGACGACC
rnacentral:rRNA from 1 species